UACGUAGGUGACAAGCGUUGUCCGGAUUUACUGGGCGUAAAGAGCGCGCAGGCGGUCGUUCAAGUCGAGUGUGAAAGCCCCCGGCUCAACUGGGGAGGGUCAUUCGAUACUGAUCGACUCGAAGGCAGGAGAGGGUAGUGGAAUUCCCGGUGUAGUGGUGAAAUUCGUAGAUAUUCGGAAGAACACCAGUGGCGAAGGCGACUUACUGGACACAUACUGACGCUGAGGUGCGAAAGCGUGGGGAGCAAACAGGG
rnacentral:rRNA from 1 species